GACAGAGGUGCCGAGCGUUAGGCGGAAUCACUGGGCUUAAAGCGUGUGUAGGCGGGUCGUUAAGUGCCUUGUGAAAUCCCACAGCUCACCUGUGGAAACUGCUUGGCAUACUGGCGAUCUUGAGCCACUUAGGGGCAACCGGAACAAACGGUGGAGCGGUGAAAUGCGUAGAUAUCGUUUGGAACGCCAAUGGUGAAAACAGGCAACUGGGGAUGAUGCUGACGCUGAGACACGGAAAGCCAGGGGAGCAAACGGGG
rnacentral:rRNA from 1 species